rnacentral:rRNA from 1 species
GAUGAACGCUAGCUACAGGCUUAACACAUGCAAGUCGAGGGGAAACGAUAUUGGAAGCUUGCUUCCGAUAGGCGUCGACCGGCGCACGGGUGAGUAACGCGUAUCCAACCUGCCCAUCACUUGGGGAUAACCUUGCGAAAGUAAGACUAAUACCCAAUGACGUCUCUAGAAGACAUCUGAAAGAGAUUAAAGAUUUAUCGGUGAUGGAUGGGGAUGCGUCUGAUUAGCUUGUUGGCGGGGUAACGGCCCACCAAGGCGACGAUCAGUAGGGGGUCGGAGAGGAAGGUCCCCCACAUUGGAACUGAGACACGGUCCAAACUCCUACGGGAGGCAGCAGUGAGGAAUAUUGGUCAAUGGGCGAGAGCCUGAACCAGCCAAGUAGCGUGCAGGAUGACGGCCCUAUGGGUUGUAAACUGCUUUUAUAAGGGAAUAAAGUGAGCCACGUGUGGCUUUUUGCAUGUACCUUAUGAAUAAGGACCGGCUAAUUCCGUGCCAGCCGCCGCCGUAA